rnacentral:rRNA from 1 species
GACGAACGCUGGCGGCGCGCUUAACACAUGCAAGUCGAACGGAAAGGCCUGCUUUCCCUUGUGGAUUGCGGGUACUCGAGUGGCGAACGGGUGAGUAACACGUGAGUGAUCUGCCCCCAACUUGGGUAUAAGCCUGGGAAACUGGGUCUAAUUCCCGAUAGGACUGCAGGGUGGUGCCUGUGGUGGAAAACGAUUUUCUAGUGGUUGGGGAUGAGCUCGCGGCCUAUCAGCGUGUUGGUGGGGUAAUGGCCUACCAAGGCGGCGACGGGUAGCCGGCCUGAGAGGGUGGACGGCCACAUUGGGACUGAGAUACGGCCCAGACUCCUACGGGAGGCAGCAGUGGGGGAUAUUGCACAGUGGGCGGAAGCCUGAUGCAGCGACGCCGCGUGGGGGAUGACGGCCUUCGGGUUGUAAACUCCUUUGGACCGCGAGGAAGCCACCUGGUUGGAAGGGUGGUGACGGUAGUGGUAGAAGAAGCACCGGCUAACUACGUG